GACAGAGGUGCCGAGCGUUAGGCGGAAUCACUGGGCUUAAAGCGUGUGUAGGCGGGUCGUUAAGUGUCUUGUGAAAUCCCACCGCUCAACGGUGGAACUGCUGGGCAUACUGGCGAUCUUGAGCCACCUAGGGGCAGGCGGAACAAGCGGUGGAGCGGUGAAAUGCGUAGAUAUCGCUUGGAACGCCGACGGUGAAAACAGUCUGCUGGGGGUGUGCUGACGCUGAGACACGAAAGCCAGGGGAGCGAACGGG
rnacentral:rRNA from 1 species